ACAUCUUUACGUACCCCAAACAAGAAGAUGACUUAUCCAAAAACACUUAAGAAGGGGGAGCAAGAAGGGGCAAAGAGGUGUGAGUCAGGACAGCAAAAGGGCUGUUUUGAAGUGGAUGCACUAUUAUGAGGCUGCAAUGAUUUGCAGUUACAGAGCAGAUACAUUCCUUGUUAAUUUGUCACAGAGACCUGGAAAUGAGAGCAGAACAGGUACUGGGAACUACUACCAAUGCUCCAAGACCUGUGGAAGCUCCAUUUCCUCCUCAUGAUCUACAUGCAGCUAUUUCAUGUGUCCAGUUCUAACAAUCUUGUUGCACAGUUUCCUCAUCAUUGCAUCAGCUGUGUGUUUAGCUUGUCCCUGGUGGCUGCUAAAACACGACUGGUGAAAGUCACCUGUAAGAGGCCCAUUACAGCCAGCAGGAGCAGGGCUGGCAGCUAGCACAUCGCUGUACCUGGAUGCCAGUUGCCUCCCCUUCAGCUUGCUUAGCUGAAGCUCAUCUUGCAAAAUGUCCCGAUGAGUUUUGAAUCUCAUAACGGAUGGGAAGUUCCAUUACCUCUUUGCCACAAGAGAUUACCCACCCUCACUGGAUACAAGGACCACAUUGUCAUGGAAACCACAUUCUUAUUUGCCUAACUUAGGGGUAUACUCCAAUGACUGCAGUAAUCCAUAUGCACAGGAAAACCUUGAGAAAUCCCAAGUGGUCCUCAUAACCAGUAAAAAGCAGAAAAACCAGGAUGCCCUAUGGCUUAUCUAAGUCAUGGAAGUGCAAAAGAGUGACCUAAAAGCUUGAAGAAACUGCUGGUCCUGUUCAGCCUGUCAGUGCUGGGAUUGGCUUCUUUGGCUAUUGACACAAUUUUUGUGGGGUGAGUGAGCAGUAGAAGGGAAGUGGAUAGGUUUUUUGAUUUAGGAGAUGGAAAAAGGAAGAUUGUAACAGCACAGAAGAUGAUAUAAAAUAAAUAUUAAAGAGUCAUUAGAGAAAUUAAUUUCCAUUUCUGAAGUAAUAAACGAUCAUAAUAAGGGGUUGUUAAAGUGCAGUGUUAUGCAAAAUAAUGCACUUCCCGGGGGAAAAAAUAUAAGCAUGGUUGUUAAAAUAACGUUUUUCAUUUAUGUUAUUGACCUCCAUUAUGUGUUAUUUUGCAUGUGAAGAACUUUUCUUCAAAAGGCACAAACACGAUGGUUCUGAAGAUCAGUCUUUAUUUCUUUCAGUCCGCUAUUUUGCAGGGUAAUGAUCUUUCCCUAAGUGUUUUUUGGGUUUGAUUUUUUUUUUUUUUUUUUUAACCGUAGCUUUUCAAGUUUUCAAUCGCACUGGCUCCCUCUGGUGGAAUUCUGAAGUGCUCUACUUUACAAUCCAAUAAAAUUACUGACUCACUUUGUUAGAUGAUAUGUGAGGUUGCUGUUUUACAUAAUUGUUACAUUAAAAAUAGGGGGAAAAAAGAGAGUCAUAUCUCAUAGAUGCAAUUCAGUUUACCCCAGAUGAGCUCAUAGAAUGAAAUGUUAGCAAUCUGGGUCAAAAUGGCAGGAGAAAACAUCUUUCAUUUCCCCUCACUCACAUUCUCUUAACUGAUAUAAUGGAUAGUAUUUUGCUAGUAUGUGUUUAGAAAGGAAAGGAGUUACAAAAAUGUCAUAAAUAUGGGACUGGCCUGUUUCACUUGGCAGCAAAAAUCAGUCAGUCUCUUACAGAAAGUGUUCAUAGGAGAAUUUCCGUUUUGAAAUUAAGUCACUUGGCAGUGGUUGCCACUUUUAUCCUGAGAGCUCUCACCGGAGCCGAACCAGUCCAUGGUACAUUCAUCCAUUUGUUAUCGAUAAUGAAUAUAGAAAAGAGAAAAGAAAAGACAAAGAAGAGCAGGAAAUAGGAAAACUGUUUGACUCUUUUCCCUGUUUAUGCCUGUGAGAAGGACUUGCAUUUUUGAGGACUUUGCAAAAGAAUGAAACUAAGCCUUUCACCUAGAGUUGAGUAACUGUGUGUCUGCCCUUCCUCAGUGUAGCAAGACUGACUGAGAGGAAAAAUAUGUUUAAACUUGCAUCAUCACUCCAUCCCAGUCUCCUGUCUCUGCAGUGUAAGUCCUCAUUACUGGACAUGGUAGGUUUCCCAAAUGAAUGUAUGGUCCUGCCUCUUCUUUAAUAGUGGUUCAAGAACUCUUGCCUGGAGGCAGAAAAAGGGAGUACUCUUUUUCAAUUUGACUCUGCUGUAUAAAUUUUCACAGGUUGACACACUGAUAUGCUUUUAAUUAUGGCACUUUAGAAACUUUGAAAAAAAGAGGACAUGAAAAAGUCUUUUUUUUUUUUUUUUUAGAUUAACUGUUCAUUUUGGAAGAAAUUAUGUAGGCUCCUCUGUUCACAUGGAUAAGGGGCCACAGUAUUUUCUAACACAGUUUAAGAAAGGUAAAAAGGGAACUGCUAAAGAGAUUUUUAGAACUAUUGCUCUCUAAGUGGCAUGAAGACUGAGCUAUUUGAAAGGGCUUCAGUAGUAAAUACCAAUAAUAUUUUACAAUUUUGACAAAAUUCUGCUGAAAAUAUCAAAUUUUUGUUCAAUGUGACCUGGGAAAAAUCCUGAUCCUACAUAUUUCUCUGUUUAAAUAAAAGAAUUUAAACAAACUUAUGAGCUAUCUUUUUUUCUAAUGAACUUAUUGUUUCAUUGAAUCUGAAACUUCAGCUUUUC